rnacentral:lncRNA from 1 species
ACCGGAUUCGUCAACGCAGGGUCUGAGCAUGCACUGCAUCAGGCCUAUCUACUGCUACCUCCGGCUGUCUGCCCUGCUGGCUUCAUCGGACAAAACAAGUCGCAGGAAGCUGUACCACGUGCACUGCACUGGGACCACCUGACCAGCACGGUAACGUCGACGGAGACAUCGUGGCACCCGGAUAAAAGCAGCAGCCUUUUCGACGUUCCCUUCAGUGGACUUGGAAGCACCUAACGAGCACGGAUGCUGAUCAAAUUUUUUCUGAUCGCACAGGCGAUCUUUGGAAACUUCAGUGAUACCUGACGACUGGCGAAGGGCCAAAGUAAUACCUGUGCACAAAUCUGGCUCUAAACUCGACAGUUCAUCACUUGUGCAUGUGCAACACAUUGGCGGAGGCAAUACGAACUGCAUUUCUCACUAGCUGGACAAGUCGGAAUGGCAAUGCACCUUGGAGAACAAGACUCGAAUUGUGAAAGUCUGGUGGUUUCACAGAACUUUGUUUUAUGUCAAGAUGGGCUGACACCAUGUCACCUGAUGCUGUCACUCUCUGGUAAGCAUGUUAAAAAAAUAAAAACAAUCCAGUUUGAACA